AGACUGCUAAGUAAAUCAGGGAGCCGCUUCCCCUAGCCCCAAGCGCCCGGGCUGAGCGACUUCAGGGGCGGAGCUACGGGCCUGGCCCUUCCGGGCUCCCGUAGCAAAUCGCGGCCCGGAAGAGAGUUGCGAGUCCGCAGGGUCCGACUGCACUGCUGCCUUCGCGGCCAACAGUGAUGACGUCACCACCCGCGGACGACCCAUUUCCGAGCCGCUCCAGAGCAUGAGAAUCUUAUGGAAGCCGUUUGGAUUCUCAAGAAGACUUCUGCAAGUGGAAUGGUGGUGUCACCACAGUGAGUCUCCAGCGUUGUUUACACUGAUACCCAGACUUAGGAAAGCACCUACUGUGUUUUUGUUGGGCCAGAGACAAGGAUUCUCAACCAUGCCAGAAAUAGAAGCAAGCGUGAGAGACAGUGAAUUAUUUUCACCACCCUCUUAUGUUCGAGGAAUGACAGAACUUGAUAGGACAGCUUUUAAAAAGACGGUGUCCAUCCCUGUGCUUAAAGCAAGGAAAGAAGUAGUCAACAGAUUGAUGCGAGCCCUCAGGAGAGUAGCCCUGCAGCGCCCGGGCAUAAAGCGUGUGAUUGAGGAUCCCAAGGAUGAAGACAGUAGGCUGGUCAUGUUGGAUCCCUACAGGGUGCUUACCGUUGAUUCCUUUGACAAAGGAGAACUCAGUGUUUUAAAAGAACUUGAUGUCAGCCCACAGUUAUCCCAGUACAACUUGGAACUAACAUAUGAAAAUUUUAAGUCAGAAGAGAUUUUGAGAGCUGUGCUUCCUGAGGGUCAAGACGUGACCUCUGGAUUCAGCAGGGUUGGCCAUAUUGCACACCUGAAUCUCCGAGACCAUCAGCUGCCAUUCAAGCAUUUAAUUGGCCAAGUCAUGGUUGACAAAAACCCAGGAAUCACCUCAGCAGUAAAUAAAACCAGCAACAUCGACAGUACUUACCGAACUUUCCACAUGGAAGUGCUGUGUGGGGAGGAGAAUAUGCUGACCAAGGUUCGAGAAAACAACUACACAUAUGAGUUUGAUUUCUCUAAAGUCUACUGGAAUCCUCGUCUCUCUACUGAACAUGGCCGGAUCACUGAACUUCUCAACCCUGGAGAUGUCUUGUUUGAUGUUUUUGCUGGGGUUGGGCCCUUUGCCAUUCCAGCAGCAAAGAAAAACUGCACGGUGUUUGCCAAUGAUCUCAAUCCUGAGUCCCAUAAAUGGCUGUUGCACAACUGUAAACUGAAUAAAGUUGACCAGAAAGUGAAAGUCUUUAACAUGGAUGGGAAAGACUUCCUCCAAGGGCCAGUCAGAGAAGAGCUGAUGCUUCGGCUAGGACUGUCAACUGAAGCAAAACCCUCUGUCCACAUUGUCAUGAACUUGCCAGCUAAGGCCAUCGAGUUUCUCAGUGUUUUUAGAUCACUUUUGGAGGGGCAGCCAUGCAGCACGGAGCUCCUCCCCACGGUGCACUGUUACUGCUUCUCCAAAGACAGCGAUCCUGCUAAGGAUGUUCGACAUCGGGCAGAAGCUGUGCUGGGCAUUCCCUUGGAGGCCAGCAGUUCAGUUCACCUCGUCAGGAAUGUGGCCCCUAACAAGGAGAUGCUGUGCAUCACCUUCCAGAUUCCUGCUGCUGCACUCUACAGGAACCAAGGCCCUAGUCAACAGAGUGACCAAGAGCCACCCCUUAAACGGCAGAAGACAGGUGAUCCCUUCUCAGGAGAACCACAGAUCGCAUCAGAUUCUUAAUUUGAAAUGUUUCCUCCAUCUCCCCAGUAGACUUUAUGUAAAGAAAUACAACAUGUUCUGUGAAACUCAGGGCUUGGAACUCUGUCCUUUUGCUUCGGCUUUCCAGCUGUUGGGAUUUCCAAUGUGCACCGCUGUUAUUCACCAUAGUCAGAUGGCUCAGUGGGUGAAGG